GUGGGGAAUAUUGGACAAUGGGCGCAAGCCUGAUCCAGCCAUGCCGCGUGCAGGAAGACGCAUCUAUGGUGUGUAAACUGCUUUUGUACGGGAAGAAACACUCCCUCGUGAGGGAGCUUGACGGUACCGUAAGAAUAAGGAUCGGCUAACUCCGUGCCAGCAGCCGCGGUAAUACGGAGGAUCCAAGCGUUAUCCGGAAUCAUUGGGUUUAAAGGGUCCGUAGGCGGUUUAAUAAGUCAGUGGUGAAAGCCCAUCGCUCAACGAUGGAACGGCCAUUGAUACUGUUAGACUUGAAUUACAAGGAAGUAACUAGAAUAUGUAGUGUAGCGGUGAAAUGCUUAGAUAUUACAUGGAAUACCAAUUGCGAAGGCAGGUUACUACUUGUGGAUUGACGCUGAUGGACGAAAGCGUGGGGAGCGAACAGGAUUAGAUACCCGUGUAGUCC
rnacentral:rRNA from 1 species